rnacentral:misc_RNA from 1 species
GUGAAUCAUCGAAUUUUUGAACGCAAAUUGCACUCUCUUCGGAGAGUAUGCCUGUUUGAGGGUCAGCCUAAAAAAAAUCGACAUAGUCGCUUUUUCUCGGUGACAUUCGUCGGAGAUUUGGUCAUCUUAAACCUUUUGGUUUUAAGCGGCUUAAAAAUUUCUUUACGAUUCCACGAACGUUUCUAAGAUUUUACUUCUUACACACGUUUAAGUUAUCGAUCUGUCUUAGGCGUGAACGUUUCAUCGUAUCGCGUCCAGAAA